rnacentral:lncRNA from 1 species
CAUGUCCUCUUCCUGGCUUCAUCUGUCUCCACAGUGCUCCUUCCUUUCCGACAUCCUCUCUAAGGUCCUACCUACUUUGUUUAUUAUCCACCCUUCCUAUCUGUACAUACAAAAAUGUAUGUCUAAAGAGGACAGAAGUUUCUUCUACUUUGUGCAUAGCACCUGGAGAAGGGCCCAGGCCAUCACAAGUGCUUGGUAAGGUAAUGUAUGCUCCGUGCAAGAAGGAAUGUACGGUGAGGACAAGGAACAGCUAAGUCACCGUGGCUGGAGCAGAGCAAACAGGGGAGUAUUGGGAAAUUAGGCAAAGAGGCCAGAUUACAGAUCUUACUCUCAGUGUGGUUCAGGACACUGCUGAAGAGUUUGGAGAUGGGAGGGACAGGAUCCGACGGAUGUCACUGAGAUGCAGGCCUAGUUGAAAGUUUCACAUAAUGAGUGUGACCAUGUGACAGGUUUUUUUUUAAACCUCUGUUAACUUAUGAAAUUUGACUGCAGGACUAAAGGAAAACUGUGUGUUGAUAGUGGCACCUGUGAUAUAGACAGGGUCAGAAGGGAAUGACCUCUACCUUGGAAAGGAGCCAUGCUUUACUGGUUGCUAUGGACUGAAUGUGUUUGCCCCAUCCCAAUUCAUAUGUUGACAUCCUACUCCUGUGGGUGAUGAGGUCCUGAGAGUGCAGCUCCAUGAAUAGAAUUAGUACCCUCAUGAAAGAAGUCCAAAGGAGCUCUGACACCUGCCACUGUCCCAGGACACAGCAAGAAGGUACCAUCUGUGAACUAGAGAGAAGCUCACGCCAGAAACCGU